AUCUUCUUAGUAUAAAAAAUAUACUUGACUUCCAAUCAGGAGAUCUUAAUAUUCAAGAGAAGAUA
rnacentral:tRNA from 1 species